UCCCUCCGCCGUCCGUUGCCUUUAAUCGAGUUUGCCUCGCUUAAAUUCGUAGCUGCUCUCCUCUAUAACUGUCUUGCCAACGGAUAUAUCCAAAUCUUUCCUUCUUGCCAUCUCGCUCCCCGCUACCUUCGUGUCAUAACAUUUUUAAAUAAUACUCCGUCUCCAUGGCUUCGGAAGCCGGCCGGGACGCCCAAGGGCGACGCGAUUUACCUGCGAACGCAGGGAGGACAUACAAAGAUGAGUAUUCCUGGCUCUCAGUCCUGGGUUUUGCUUUUCUCACUUAUAACUCGAUCCUCGCCGUCUACCGCUCCAUCAACGACCCAUGGAUGGUGGCCUUCGUCGUGGGCUCCUACGUUGAUCUCAUGUCCCUGUUUUAUUUUCUGCGCGUCUUUGAGAGAACGUCGGAAACUUCCCCUCACAGGGGAAAGUUGAAGGUGGUGGUAUGGACGCUCGCCACGCUGCUUACCCUGAUGUUUACUUACAAGGUCGCAGGCAUCAUGCCGUUGGCGGUGAAGGUCGUAGUGUGGGCGAUGGCAGCCGCCACGACUCUUGGUGGCUUCUACGCCUUCUUCAUCUACGAGGAGAAUCCCAAACUCUAAUGGGUUUCGGUUUCUCCGUUUCUCCUGAAUAAUAUAUACAGGAGACGCAGGGUUCGUGUUCAGCAAGCUCUGGGACCCAGGCGCUGCGAGCGGCGCAGCGUCGGCCGUAGCGCGUGGCUCUCAUCGCAUGGCUGGGCAUACGGAUGCUGCGCCUCGUGUAUAUUAUUACUUAGGAGAUAGGAGGAACCUUUCCUUCAGUGUUCGUUUUUGCCCCUUGUAUGUUACUAAGGACCUACCUUUCCUUGAGUUUCUUUUUUAUCCUCCUCUUACCCUGUACGUGCGUGUGCGUGUGCGUGUUCGUGUUUUACUUGUUUUAUUAUGAACUGAGUUGUUUUGGAAGUGGGUGCUUCUGAUCAGAUGCGUGCAGUAGCGAAAAGAAGGCUGGAAAUAGGUUGAGCUCCUGUUCGGUAAUUAUUUGCCAGGGGCUGACCAGGCGGACAACGGUAUGGCGCAGGUUGAAAUUUAAACUUUGUCCUGAGGAGAGGUUCCAAAAUUUUUAAAAUUAGUAUAGCACGAAUGUUAACAAUCGAAGGAUUACUUAUCAAUAUGUUUUACUCUGUAAUAUUUUUGUUAUUAAUUCAGCUUGUAUUAGAGGUUACGUAAUAAUCUAUGUUACUCUGUAUUUUUUUUAAUAUCAAGCUUAAUUUUAGGAAUUAUGUAAUAAUUUGAAUCAUCCUAUGUUUUUUUUUUGUUGCUUGGCGUGAUUGUGAUUAUGUAUCAACCAAUAUUUUUUUUAAUUUAGCUCUGUAAUAUAUAUUUUUUCAUAUCAGCUUGUAUUAUUAUUUUUUGGUUAGUAUGAACUAGACUGAUUUUAGAAAAUAUAUAAUAACUUCUAUUAUCUCAUGGUUUGUAUAAUUUUUUAGGUGCACCAAAUAUGAUGGAAUAGAAAUAUAAAGUUUUUUCUCUCAGCCCCUCUCUUUCUCUCUCUCUCUCUCUCCUCCCCCUCCCUCCCGCAAAUAAGGGCUCGUUUGGUUUGCGGUUUGCGGGAAGCAUUUUUUCUCAUACGAAUAUGAUUUCUGGAAAAUAAAUUCGUAGAGGAGAUUUGGAAAAGUACUUUUCGCAUGUUUGGUUAAUCAUGAUAAAUUUAUGAUAAAUUUUAAAGUGUUUAUGUAUAAUUUUAUUAUGUUCUUAAUAAAAUUAGAUUUUUAAUAUCUUUUAAUGUUUUUUAAUGUUUUAAAAUUUUUUGGAAAAAAAUAAAAUGAUUUUCGUUUUGGAAAAGUAAUUUUUUCAUAUUUCUUAUAAAAAAUAUUUUUCUAUAAAAUGUGGAAAUUAUAUUUUUAUUUUUUUAUUUAAAAAUUCCAACCAAGAGGCAUCUUGUUAUCUUUUUCGUUGACCACAUUUUUUUCUUCAAACGAGCCCUAAAUAGCAAGGACUAGUAUAUUUGUAUGUGGUAUAUGUAAAUAUAUUUGUAUACCAUACAUACUACAUAUAUUAGUCUGGGUUCAGCUCGACCAAGGAGGGUCCAUGGGCAGGCAAUGGUUUAACCAAUCAAAACGAACCCCACGUACGGUGGAUGGUAAAAUUUGAGCGGCCAAAACCUAACUAUGGAUCAGUAGGAGAGGCCUCAGGUAAGCUAACCAUGUUCAGUGCCGACUAAAAUCAUAUACGCUCUGCAGAAUAGAUUUAAUAUGACUCCACGCAAGCUGAUGGACUGUAAUUUUUUUCAUAAAAAAAAAUUGUAGCCUCUGAAAAUAUUGGAGGAAAGACGGAAUCGAUACGGAGUAAAAUUGUUUCUUAAAUAACUUACGGUUUCUCUAUACAUGUCGGGCCUGCAUCAGUUCGGCUGGUGGGGUCAAGCUCAGGCUUUGACUAGAACAGCUAAGCCAGGCUUGACUUGGGUCUGAAUUUUUUUGGCUUGAUAUCAAGCCGUGGCAUGGCAGGAACACACGGUAAUACCAACAGUGGUCGAUCAGUGGUUGUCAUGUGGUGUUAAAAAAUAAAAUUUAAAAAAUAAGAAUAUAUUGGAAAAUGAAAUAAAUGAAGUUGAACCAAACCGGAGCCUUGCGGAUGGCAGCAAGGUUUCGCAUGGUGCUUAUGUUUUAUGUGGGAUCUUUUUCGGGCUUAUUAGGUUCGCGGAAAGCAUUGUUCCUUCUAAGAAUAUUGUUGGGGAAAAACUCAAGUCGCACUGGUUCGGAGGCGCUCGCCUAAGGAGCGCCAACCAGAGAGCGCCGAUCAGAAGACGCCCGAUCCGGAAAGCGCCCGAUCAGGGGGCCCCAACCUCGCAACACGGGAAAACCCAAGUAGCGCCCGACCAGAGCGCUCGACCAGAAAGCGUCCGAUCAGGAGACGCCGACCAGAACGCGCCGACCUCACGACGCUCGAGUCAAAGACACCCCACUGACCAACUGGUGCCGAGCCCUAAAGAUGCCUUGUCUAAAUAUUCGACCCCAGCCUAAUUCCUUAUAGAGAAUCUGACAACUAGAUUUCCAACUCCACCGUACUGUGCUACCGUCGUCAAGCCAUUAAGGCACGUGACCUCCGCAGGCCUCCGGCACACUCGAUCAUUAAUGCGUGACUCCUGCGGGCCUUCAGUGCACUCAUCCAUUAAAUGAACACGGCCCAAGAUGAUCUCCGGAUCACUGGACUAUCAAAGCGUAUGGCUCUUCCUGAUCACCGGUUCACUCAGCAAUUAAUGCACUUGCUAUCUACGAACCCCAAGCCCACCACGGCCGGUGGUUGAACCACUUCAAUAGGUCCGAUCAACCAUGACAAUUCGCUGGAUCCGGUCUGAUCCGGUCUCGUUCUCCACAACAUCAUUAAUGAGCAUGAUCGUGCCCAAUUAUCACGAAGAAGACAAUUUUCCCUGUCACCUCCAGGUAACAUAAUAUCCUUCUAUAAAAGGAAACCGGGGAAAAAGGAGGGACAGAAGAACAAACAUUCUCCUCUUUUACCACACUCAUAUACUAGCCCUCUCUGACUUAAGCAUCGGAGGGCCGGCGCCGGAGAUUCCGGCCACCGGCUUUUUGCAGGACUCUCCAGGAGGACGCCACCAUCUGACGCGCCGCCGCCCACCGUUCCAGCAGCGGAGCUCCUCCCCUCUCAGCUCGCGGCCGCUCCUAGGUCCAAUUUCCAGCAACAAAUAUGAUUAUUGGGAAAUAAAUUCGUAAGAAGAGAAUGUUUACGAAAAUAUUUUUGGCAUGUUUGAUUGAUCAUUAGAAAGUAACAAAUUUUUAAAAUGUUUAUGUUUGGUUGGCUAUUCAUUUUUCUAAAAAAGUUAUGUAUAAUUUCCAUUAUGUUUUUAAUAAAAAUUAAGUUUUUAAUAUUUUUUAAUGCUUCGUUAAUGUUGAAGGUUUUUUUUAGAAAAAAUAAAAAUAGAGUGAUUUUCGUUUUAUGAAAAAGUAACUUUUUCAUAAAACGUGAAAAUCAUAUUUUCAUAAAAAUAUAAUUUUUUAUUUUUUUAAAAUUUCAAUCUAACAAGAGAUAUUUUAUUAUUUUUUUUUCUUUUUUCCGCGGACCAAAUGGGCUGGUGGUCAACCGCACGCACGUUGAAAUGGUGAAGUCAUGUUUUCAAGGAGAACAAGCGGACGGCAGGACGUCAGUGGACGUGAUAGGCCUAUUGGGGCCGACCAUCGAAAGUUUUCGGAUUGCUGUUUUUUUUUAUAUAUAUAUUUAUGACAAACGAGGUGGGCAAAGCAGCUGCCCAACUUUUAUUGAAGAGCAAAAUUAAUUAUAGUAAAAAAAAAGUUACAGUAGCAAGUAUAGAUUAGAUCAGCUGAGUAGACAACAUAAUAGAAACCGAGCAGUUAAGCAGCUGUAGAAAUAGAAAAGCAAAAAAAAAUUAAACAAAUGAAUGGUACAACUUUAGCUCAACAAAAUUAAGUUAUUUAUUUGCUCAAGUAUCAAUGUCGAACCCUAUUUAUCUGUUUGGUAGAGUAGGUAAUUUUUUUAUUUUAUGUUAGGUUUUUGUGUACUCAAGUACCGUUGUCGCGUUAUAUUUAUUUGUUUGGUAGGAUUGGUAAUUUUUUUAUUGUUUGGUAGGAUAGGUAAUUUUUUUAUUUUAUGUUAGGUUUUUGUGUACUCAAGUACCGAUGUCGCGUUCUAUUUAUCUGUUUAGUAGGAUAGGUAAUUUUUUAUUUUGCGUUAGGUAAGCGAUUUUACGUUAUAAAGGUUGGACUAUAAAUAAAAUAGUUGUAAAUAUUUUUUACCAUAAAUAAUUGUUUAUUUAUAAAAAUUUUGAUACAUAUUUUUUUGGCAUGAUCAUGAAAUGACACUAGUGAGCAUCAUGAUCAUUAGCCGAUGGUGCAGCUUUAGAAAAAUUUCUCUUUUUUUAAUCCAAGUAUAGUUUGCUAAAAGAUAAAAUCUUCUUCAGAUGACAGUAAAAAAUUUGCACUUCAAAAACAAAUGAUUUAUAGAUUGGACAAAGUGGCAACACGAUGCACAUCAUUUCAUAUUUUUUUCAAAACUUUUUUUAAUGCUAUCCUUAGUAUUGUACCAUUUUUUCCAACAAAAUUAUAGGGAGUAUUUUACUUUAAGUGUGGCACUGGAAGGUUCUAAAGUAAGAAGGCAGUUGUACUUUAUUCCUUUAGAAUUGAUGAGCUGAUAGUAGGAUGCGGAGGUGAACGUUAUUUUACUGCUUAGUUUUCAAAUAUUUUUAUCCUCAUCUCUAUUAAAUAUUAUCAAAAUAAGCAAAGAGAACAAUUGAUUUUGCUGUUAGAAGAUCUUUGCCAAUUGCUUGCUCGAUUGUUUAAGUUUUCACAAUAUAGUUUUGCAAUUUAAAAAAUUAGAUAUAGUGCCAUUUUUUUUUUGUUGCGAGCAUAAAGGGUAGGGAGGAUCAAUUUGAGUGGUGCAUUUCAAAGCUAGUUCUUUCCAAAAAGAAGUGUUUUGGUGGUUGGCGAUCUUGAAGUGAAUUCGAUUCCAGAAGGCCAGGAGAGAAUAACAUCUUUCCAAAUGUUAGAGCAUCUUUUUGGCAGUUUCCAACACAUUAAUAGUUUUACUUUCUUAUAAUAUGCAAAUUUAAUUUGCUUUCUCUAAAUACCUGGGUUUUUCACAAUUGACGUUCAACCCCAUUUUGCUAAAAAUGCAUUACUAAACUAUUGAAUGUCCUUGAUUUCUAGCACUCUUUCAUUUGCAAGCAAACAGUCUUUCAACCUUAUAAAAGAAACUGAGAGUGAUAAAUAUACUAGUCCAGGAUAAAGCUCACCUACAUUUGCCAAUUCUUUUGGUCACCCAAGCUGGAGACAUGAAGUAUAGAGGCAAGAAUUGAAUUGAUCAAGGUAGUCCUACCUCUAAAAGGCAUAUACUCGCUUUUUCAUAAAGCCAAUCUAUUCUCACUGCCAAUCCAACUUAAGAAGAUUUUGCACCAUUGAGUGGCAAACCCAAGUACUUGAGAGGGGUUGAAAUCUCAAGAUAAUUAGCCACCUACCACACUGUAGCUCUUCUUCAUGUCUAUGGCCGAUGUAAGAGAUUGAGCUUUUUUGAAAAUUAAUGGAUAACCUUCAUAUUAGCUCAAAACAAGAGUGGAUGGUUUUCAAUACCGUAUAAUAAUCUUUUUUGUGUUAAGGAAGACCAAUGUAUCGUCCGCAUAUUGCAAUAGUUUAGUGUCUCCACAAAUCCAUGGGUUCCCCAAUUCCUUAUAAUUUUUUUCUUGAAGCCACAACGUUAAGCAUUCUACAAAGUGGAUCCACUGCAAGUAUGAACAAGAAAGAAAAGAGUGGGUCACCUUCAUGAGCCCCCGCUUGCAGAAAAUCCAGUCACUAAGCUCUUUGUUCCCGUUGACCACAAUUAUGGAUGAAAGUAGUAGAUUGGAGAUCCAAUUAAUCCAUCUUAUGGGAAAACUUCUCUUAACAAGAUGUCUAAUAAGAUAAGAGGGGCUAACUCUAUAAAAAGCCCUUAUGAAGUGAAGUGUGCAAAUCGCCUCCUCAAUGCUCGAUCUUCUUGAGUGGUGCAGAAUUUCAUUGGCAUAUAGAAAAUUGUCCUUCAUGUACUUUUCUUUAAUGUUGGCUGUGUGAGCGAGAUCAAUGAGAUCAUUAAAAAAAGGCUAGAGACAGUUGGACAUACCCUUCCAUAUGAUUUCGAUGCAGCUAUACGCAAGACUGAUGCGCCGGAAAUCGGAAGGGUCUUUUGUUGCUUCUUUCUUUGGAAUGAGGGCGAGUAAGGCAUAAUGGAAUCCUGCAAGGUCCAGAUUUCUACUGUAGAGUUGCCGAAAGAGAGAAAAGAUAUUAAUUUUUAUCAAGUUCCAGAAUCUUUGGAAGAAGUAGAGAGAGAAGCUGUUAGGCCUUGGACUUUUAUCUCCUUUGAAGCUAAACACAGUAUCCUUCACUUUUUUGAAGGAGAAAGCAGCCUCCAAAACAUCCAACACUAGUGAAGAAAUGGAAUAAAGUCGAUCCCAAUCAAGAUUAAACUCUAUCAUAGCAAAAAAAUAUUAAAUGGAUCAGACCUACUGUGGAUCCAAGAUAAAAUCAUCCAAACGUGUGUUGCUAUCGCACAUUAAAAGAAGAAGCAUGGGGAUAGAGGGGACGGGACAGAUUGAUUUCAUCCUAAAUUUAAUAAUUUCUUGGUCACGAUAGCUCUAUGAAAGAUACAUGACUCUUUACCGGUCCAUUGCUUGCUAGCUUGCGGGCCACCCGAUGAUUUGAGUUCGGAGGGGUGAUACCAUCAUCGCCGCGGUCGGUUUAUUUCCAUUUCCGUCAUUGUUGAUUAGAAAUGAUAAGCUUUCCACCUUAAGCAGGGCGUCCAAGUCCCCCAUCGAACUAAUCUCCAUCUCUCUCUUGGGUACCCCCACCCUCUGGUUAUUUUAAGAUGAAUUUUGAUGGUGGUAUGGCUAUGAAUAGAGCUUCUGGAGGAGUGGGCUUUGUUAUUAGGGACCAGCAUGGUAGAUUGAUUGCAGCUGGAGGUUAGAGCACACCAGGAUUGACGGUUGUUGGGCAGAGCUACAAGUUGCCUGGGAGGGCAUCCGAUAUGCGAGAUGUGUGUUGGGGGUCGACAGAUUAUGCAUUGAGGGAGACUCUGCCACGGUGAUUGACUGGAUACGGGGAGUCAAUAGAUAUGGUGACGACCACCCUUUGAUUUGGGAUACUCGCAGACUAGUUCAGGAGAUGUUAGCUGUCCAGAUUGGUCAUGUGUAUCGUGAGGUGAACAGAGCUGCAGACUGGGUCGCCUCAUAUGUGGCUCGUCAUUCUAGGGACGUCAUCUGGACUAGUCUAGCAAGCGUUCUCCAUUUGUUGCAUUGCUUACUUUCUCUUGACUUGGCAGGAUGUACUCAAUUUUGACUUACUGGAAAUGAAAUGCCUUUUUGGACAAAAAAAAAACACUAAUCUCUAUCGAACAGCCUUAACACCAGUUAGGGAAGAUAACUUAAAUUGGAAUAAAGAAAUGAAGGAACCACCAAUUAGAGAAGAUACAAGGCAUGGCUCAUAAAAAAUCCAACUAGAUGAAUCAGACUUCUUCUAUCAAUGCUAUCGCCUACAUUAGCUGACCUGUAACCCAUUACUUGCUAGGACCUGUAGCUCAUCUUGGAUGUUUGCGAGGUCAAAUAUGUAGACGAAGUUUCCAUAGCACAUAGAAAUAUUUAUGGACAAUGUCUUCUUCUGGACUAAGGAAGGCAAAUAAUUUUUGUCAGGAGAUAAGGCCCAAAAUUUGUACCCAACAAAAGGUCCGUAUCAUCGGCAUGACGAUAUUUGUCGGCUUAGGAGAGACUUUAUCUCUUUAGGGUUCUGAAUUUUGAUUCUAAAAUAAUUCUUUCUAGAUAUCGAAAAUUGAGAUUAAAUUUACUGUAGAAGGUAGGCAUAGCUAUAUUUUCAGAAAAUGAGAAGGGGAUAAGAAGCAAUGUUAAAAAAAUAUUUUAGGGAGGCGGACAAGUGGUAGAUUGGAUCACCUUUUUUUUUUUGCUGAGGCCGGUGGACAUAGUCUGAUACCGCCUCUUAUGUUUGUACUACUUUUUUUACUCUUCUGGUUCUGGUUGUGCUUAUAUUAGAUUAAUAUGAGCAACUAUUGUACUGGAUUCAGCUCCACCAGAAUUUUAAAAUAUAUAUAUAUAUAUAAGAAGUAGAAAAUUCCGAAUGGAGUUGCAAGUUGGAGCCUCGCCACGUCCGNNNNNNNNNNNNNNNNNNNNNNNNNNNNNNNNNNNNNNNNNNNNNNNNNNNNNNNNNNNNNNNNNNNNNNNNNNNNNNNNNNNNNNNNNNNNNNNNNNNNNNNNNNNNNNNNNNNNNNNNNNNNNNNNNNNNNNNNNNNNNNNNNNNNNNNNNNNNNNNNNNNNNNNNNNNNNNNGUUCCCAGAAAUAGGAGAAAUUAUUACAUCCAAUCCAGAUUGGUUAAACGAUUAGGCUGUUUCACCGGACCUGGUCCAUCUAACAACGAGGACAGAAACAGAUCUUUACUAAAUAUUGAGGACAGAAACAUAGCCUUCAGCGUGACCUCAGAAACAGACUUGAAGCCUGCGCAACUGCGGGCUCCAAUAUGUCGGCUAUGUACGUGAUGGUGUAAGUAGAGAGCCAUCACAAGAACCACAUCCAUCCAUACGGUGGGCUUCUUUAUUACUGUGUGCAGUGAUGUAAAUAAACAAAUCCAAUAAUACUAGAUUGCUGUGAUAUAAAUAAUCGAAUCAAAUAAUUCUGGAUCUAAUAAUUUUAUUCUUUUAUAUCCUCCUGUUGUUUCUCCAUAUCAAUGAUUGCUGGUUUUUUAUUUCACCGACUCCUCCCAAAUUUGCAAAACGAAUGGGAAAAUUCGACAUUCUCUCUGUACUCUUCUUUACAGCUAUUUAAUUGCCGCUUUUAUUAAAAAAAAAAUUCGGCAUAAAAAAAUUGCCGAAAGCUAACAGCGUUCCCAAAGAUAUUUUUUUUCCCCUUCUUCCUCCCACGCUCUCUCUCCAACUAAUGAUCGCAAACCUUUUCCUUUUCUUGAUAACCAUAGUAAAAAAAGUUCUCCACCCUUCCACCGCUUUCUUCCCGUUCCUUGACAUGCGGUAGAACGGCGGCGCACAUGGUGGCGGUGAGGCUCCGUCCGAUCGGCACCGUCGACGACCGCAUACGAAGGCGGACCAAGAUAGCACCACCACGACCACCGGCGGCGACGGUGGAAGAAGGCAUGGGGAGCUUCCACGAGCGGAUGAUCGACGAGUCCCUCACGUCCCGCUACUCGGAUUGGAUCGUGGAGGCGUUGGACGAGCUCCCGGACAACUUCUUGAUCACAGAUCCGGGAAUCUCCGGCCAUCCGAUCGUCUUCGCCAGCCGCGGGUUCCUCGCCAUGUCGGGAUACGCCCGGGAGGAGGUGGUGGGCCGGAACGGGAGGAUCUUCCAGGGGCCCGCCACCGAGCGGCGGUCGGUGAUGGAGAUCCGGGAGGCGAUCCGGGAGGAGCGGACGCUCCAGAUUAGCUUGCUCAACUACCGGAAGGAUGGGACGCCGCAUUGGAUCUUGUUCCACCUGUGCCCUGUCUUCGGGAUGGAGGAUGGGCGGGUGAUCCACUUCGUCGCCGUUCAGGUGCCGAUCCCGAGGCGGUCGAGAUGCGCGAGGUCGGGGGCGAAUGGAAUGGUGUAUGGGGCGUGCCGGAAUGAGGUGCGUUUGGAUGACGAUUACGCGUGUAAUCUUGCAGUGGAUUCGGUUAUUGAUAUGGAUAACAAAGGUAGUUCAGUUUCUUGGCCUGAAUGGAUCGUCUUUGGUUUCGUUUUGGUUCUUAUUGAAACAUAUUGAUGCUGAUUAGAUCUUUAGUUAUUGAGUAGUAAUUAUUACAAGACCUCUAUUUAGAUUUGAAUGCAAAAAGAUUCUUUUUUGAGAAGCAAAAAGAUUAAAUCAUCUUGCCCCAAAUAUUUUUACUUGUUGAUUCUAUUGGAUUGGAUGCUAGUUCUUAUUCUUGGUUAAACUGGAUUUUUUUUUUUUUAGUAUCCUCACUACUUGGUUGAUUAUUACAGCUUUGGAGGCUGAAGAGUCUCGUAAAGCGAGUGUUUGGGAGAAGGAGAAAGCAUCGAAUGCUGCUAACAGCAUCUUAUCAACACUGACUCACUAUAGCAAGCUUACGGGGAGAGUGGUCUGCACGAAGAGAUGCAGUUCAGCUGGCAUUGCGCCUCUCAGUUCAUCCCUGAAUAUAUCUCUCGGUAGAAUCAAACAGAGCUUUGUAUUGUGAGUUGUUACAAAUUCCUGUUUCUGUUCGUUUAAAUAUUCUUGAGAUGUAUUGCUUGCUGCAUUGAUACAGAUUGUUUUGAUUCUUGCAGGACUGAUCCACAUUUACCUGAUAUGCCCAUUGUCUAUGCCAAUGAUGAAUUCCUAAGUUUAACAGGUUUUUUUUAUUGCUAUGCCAUCUUAUUUACAUUAAUUUGACCACUUUUAAAAAA
rnacentral:lncRNA from 1 species